UGGGCGUAAAGGGCUCGCAGGUGGUUUCUUAAGUCUGAUGUGAAAGCCCCCGGCUCAACCGGGGAGGGUCAUUGGAAACUGGGAAACUUGAGUGCAGAAGAGGAGAGUGGAAUUCCACGUGUAGCGGUGAAAUGCGUAGAGAUGUGGAGGAACACCAGUGGCGAAGGCGACUCUCUGGUCUGUAACUGACACUGAGGAGCGAAAGCGUGGGGAGCGAACAGGAUUAGAUACCCUGGUAGUCCACGCCGUAAACGAUGAGUGCUAAGUGUUAGGGGGUUUCCGCCCUUUAGUGCUGAAGUUAACGCAUUAAGCACUCCGCCUGGGGAGUACGGCCGCAAGGCUGAAACUCAAAGGAAUUGACGGGGGCCCGCACAAGCGGUGGAGCAUGUGGUUUAAUUCGAAGCAACGCGAAGAACCUUACCAGGUCUUGACAUCCUCUGACAACCCUAGAGAUAGGACUUCUCCUUCGGGAGCAGAGUGACAGGUGGUGCAUGGUUGUCGUCAGCUCGUGUCGUGAGAUGUUGGGUUAAGUCCCGCAACGAGCGCAACCCUUGAUCUUAGUUGCCAUCAUUCAGUUGGGCACUCUAAGGUGACUGCCGGUGACAAACCGGAGGAAGGUGGGGAUGACGUCAAAUCAUCAUGCCCCUUAUGACCUGGGCUACACACGUGCUACAAUGGACAGAACAAAGAGCUGCGAGACCGCGAGGU
rnacentral:rRNA from 1 species